rnacentral:lncRNA from 1 species
CUGGACAAGGAUCAACAAGAUAUAGGCCAAGAUCUACACAGAUUCUGCAGCUCUCUGCUUCCUGAAAAACAAUAAAGACUUGGAUUACUCAACAGGAAACCGUAUUUUUUUCAGAAGAAUUUAUUAUUUCAACCAUUCUCUUACACUUAUUCUUCUGGAAAACUCAACAGAGGAGCAGUUUUCUCCCAAGAAGGCUGCAAGAGUUCGUUCAUCUGUUCCUGAUGAAGAAUCUGUUCCUGAUGAAGAGAUUCUCUUCUGCAGUUCCACAGCACUUAUUUUUGUGUUCAGACUGAGCUUCCUCAAGAUGAGAACAAAUAAAUAGGUAAAAGAAAG